rnacentral:lncRNA from 1 species
AAGAGUGACACUUUGCUUGUCAUGUAGACCAAGCAACAAGUUUGGUGCACCAACAUCACCAUUUCUAAAUUUGGCACCGGGGUCAAAUGGAAAAAGUGGCCAUAGACACGGGUCUCGACAACACUUCCCUUUCCCGUGGUCUACACCCAAACUAAAUAACAUACUCUCUACAAUAACAUACAUAUCAUCCAAAGCAAAUAGAGAGUAGAGAAAGGUAUCACUCAAAUCGACUUCUACUAAGGUGCUCUCAUGUAUGUACUCACUACUAGUUUCCCAAUAAACACCAUGAACACUCUUAACAAUGAAAUCACACAAAGUAGAAGAAGAAGUAGCUUCCGCAACUACACAUUCCUUAUCCUUAAAUGUAUUCUCAUCUUCCAAGAAGAGAUUUCCCUCUAUAGGAGGAAUGUUGUCACACCAUAGUAGGUUAGCAUAUAGGCUAUAGCUUCCAAGGAAAGCUAUACAAUCAUUUUCACCACUAGGUUCAUUAGGAGUGUUUAAAUCAUCUUCAAACGAGACAUUAUACCUAAAAAGAGUGUGAUCUACCUCACGGACAGAUUUGGAACAAGCAAGUUCCUCACUCUCUAAAUGAUCAAUAUCAAGUUUCAAGGAUGUUUCAAACACAAUAUUACCCCAAGAAGAGCUCUCGGGUUCAU